AGAGUUUGAUCAUGGCUCAGAUUGAACGCUGGCGGCAGGCCUAACACAUGCAAGUCGAGCGGAUGAAGGGAGCUUGCUCCUGGAUUCAGCGGCGGACGGGUGAGUAAUGCCUAGGAAUCUGCCUGGUAGUGGGGGAUAACGUCCGGAAACGGGCGCUAAUACCGCAUACGUCCUGAGGGAGAAAGUGGGGGAUCUUCGGACCUCACGCUAUCAGAUGAGCCUAGGUCGGAUUAGCUAGUUGGUGGGGUAAAGGCCUACCAAGGCGACGAUCCGUAACUGGUCUGAGAGGAUGAUCAGUCACACUGGAACUGAGACACGGUCCAGACUCCUACGGGAGGCGGCAGUGGGGAAUAUUGGACAAUGGGCGAAAGCCUGAUCCAGCCAUGCCGCGUGUGUGAAGAAGGUCUUCGGAUUGUAAAGCACUUUAAGUUGGGAGGAAGGGCAGUAAGUUAAUACCUUGCUGUUUUGACGUUACCAACAGAAUAAGCACCGGCUAACUUCGUGCCAGCAGCCGCGGUAAUACGAAGGGUGCAAGCGUUAAUCGGAAUUACUGGGCGUAAAGCGCGCGUAGGUGGUUCAGCAAGUUGGAUGUGAAAUCCCCGGGCUCAACCUGGGAACUGCAUCCAAAACUACUGAGCUAGAGUACGGUAGAGGGUGGUGGAAUUUCCUGUGUAGCGGUGAAAUGCGUAGAUAUAGGAAGGAACACCAGUGGCGAAGGCGACCACCUGGACUGAUACUGACACUGAGGUGCGAAAGCGUGGGGAGCAAACAGGAUUAGAUACCCUGGUAGUCCACGCCGUAAACGAUGUCGACUAGCCGUUGGGAUCCUUGAGAUCUUAGUGGCGCAGCUAACGCGAUAAGUCGACCGCCUGGGGAGUACGGCCGCAAGGUUAAAACUCAAAUGAAUUGACGGGGGCCCGCACAAGCGGUGGAGCAUGUGGCUUAAUUCGAAGCAACGCGAAGAACCUUACCUGGCCUUGACAUGCUGAGAACUUUCCAGAGAUGGAUUGGUGCCUUCGGGAACUCAGACACAGGUGCUGCAUGGCUGUCGUCAGCUCGUGUCGUGAGAUGUUGGGUUAAGUCCCGUAACGAGCGCAACCCUUGUCCUUAGUUACCAGCACCUCGGGUGGGCACUCUAAGGAGACUGCCGGUGACAAACCGGAGGAAGGUGGGGAUGACGUCAAGUCAUCAUGCCCCUUACGGCCAGGGCUACACACGUGCUACAAUGGUCGGUACAAAGGGUUGCCAAGCCGCGAGGUGGAGCUAAUCCCAUAAAACCGAUCGUAGUCCGGAUCGCAGUCUGCAACUCGACUGCGUGAAGUCGGAAUCGCUAGUAAUCGUGAAUCAGAAUGUCACGGUGAAUACGUUCCCGGGCCUUGUACACACCGCCCGUCACACCAUGGGAGUGGGUUGCUCCAGAAGUAGCUAGUCUAACCGCAAGGGGGACGGUUACCACGGAGUGAUUCAUGACUGGGGUGAAGUCGUAACAAGGUA
rnacentral:rRNA from 1 species